UCUCUCAAAUCGAUUUUUAGACUUGUUCUCCUGUGGGUGUGUUAAUUUCCCCUCAUCUCUUUCUUUUUUGUAUCUGAUAGGGUUGUUAUCCAUCCAUCUCUGGCUCUCAGCAGCUCCUUUCAUUGUAGCUGGCGUCGAUGCUGUAACCGUUGGGGUUUAUCUCCUUCGAAAAUCUCCGGUUCGUGUUAUUGAGGCAAGUAUCCGGUUGCUGUAGCUGGCGUCGCUGCUGUAGCUGAAAAAGUUCUUCCAUUUUGAUAGGGUUACAAUAUCCACAGUUUAGCAAUCUCGUUGCGGUGACGGUCCACAAAUAUCGUUGUAUAGUGAACAUUGUGACCGCAAGAGAUUCAUCCAGAGAAGGCAGGAAAGAGCUGUAGGCUACAUACCUCAGGAUCAAAGAUUCAAAACUUAUUAAGUUAUUAUCAAAUCUCCUUAGUCCUAAUCUAACUUUCUAAUUUUGACUUGUAUAUGAACUUGGAAGUUUUCCGCUGCUAUACAUUGGACUUAAUUUAUGAACCACUUUUUCCAACCUGAGUGUGUUAUUUGGGUUGUUAGAUGAUUGAGAUUACAAAUAACUGAACUUCAAACUCAAGAAAAAGGCAGAUAGAAUUUUAGAAUUGGUCAAGAGAUCCUGAUGGAAGAUAACUUGCCCGAUGAUGAGAUAGAAAUUGAUUUGUCUCCUAUAGCUGUACAAUUGGCCUAUGUCCAGCAGUGGCAGUGAACAAUCUUGUUUCACUGAAAGGUACAAAAGAUGCUUCUGAUAGCCUAAGGAAACUUGAUUGGCUAAAAGAGAAAGAGACGCAGAACUUUCGGCUAGCUCGUGGACUGGAUUUGAAACUUUCAGCAAAGGAAAGGGAGAAAGAGAAAGCUAAGGAAAGGAGAAAGAGAAAGCCAAGGUAUCCUAAAGGGUUUGACCCUGCAAAACCAGGUCCUCCCCCAGAUCCAGAGAGGUGGCUUCCCAAGCGGGAGAGAUCAACUUAUAGGCCUAAGAGGAAGGACAAAAGAGCUGCUCAGGUGAGAGGUUCUCAGGGUGCUGUAGUUAGAGAAAAGCACGGUGCUGUUGCCUUUUCCAGCAAUUCAAAUCCUAAAUCAAACCAGUCAACUGCCUCCAAAGGAGCUACGCAGAAUGCAGUUUGAGCAAAGCAAGCCUUCAUCAUCCAAGUCGAGAAAGAAGUCUUUGAAUUGACCAGGUUUUAUGGUGCUACCAAUGAGAAACAACCAUAGUCAAAUCCAGAGAUAGGUUCUACAUCUCAAUGGGGACGCAAGAGGAAGGGUCUUGCAAACCACCUGCAGAGGAAGACUAACACUGCAAAGUAACAUAGUUGCUGUACCUGAUAAGCUUGCAGAUGUUGUAUCAGUGAUUUGCUGAUAAAUUAUAAUGUAAGAAGAAUCUGAAGGCAACACCUGUUGGGGGAUAAUGAAGCAUCUCCACUUUGUCACAUUUGUGGAAGAGGAUCUUAAUAGCUGUGUCAUUCAUUUAACUAGUAGGGAUCUGAUAAGUUUAUACAUAGGGCUGAAUGUGUCCAAGAAGAGUAGUAUGCUGUAUAGGAAUUUCCUUGUGUACUUUGAUCUUUGAUUACACUUUGUUCAUAGUCAUGUACCAUUCUGAUGUGUAACUUAUGAAGCAACUAAAUAUAUUUCAGUGAUUCAAUUAAUAUGAAGCAAUU